rnacentral:rRNA from 1 species
GACGAACGCUGGCGGCGUGCUUAACACAUGCAAGUCGAACGGUGAAGCGCCUUCCUUUUUGGUGGGUGUGGAUGAGUGGCGAACGGGUGAGUAACACGUGAGUAACCUGCCCCCUUCUUCUGGAUAACCGCAUGAAAGUGUGGCUAAUACGGGAUAUUCUGGGUCUGUCGCAUGAUGGGUCUGGGAAAGAUAUUGUUUCGGUGGGGGAUGGGCUCGCGGCCUAUCAGCUUGUUGGUGGGGUGAUGGCCUACCAAGGCGGUGACGGGUAGCCGGCCUGAGAGGGUGGACGGUCACACGGGGACUGAGACACGGCCCAGACUCCUACGGGGGGCAGCAGUGGGGAAUAUUGCACAAUGGGCGCAAGCCUGAUGCAGCGACGCCGCGUGAGGGAUGGAGGCCUUCGGGUUGUGAACCUCUUUCGCCAGUGAAGCAGGCCUGCCUCGUUUGUGGGUGGGUUGACGGUAGCUGGAUAAGAAGCGCCGGCUAACUACGUG